AAAGCAGGCUGCAAUUGCAGUGCUUCAUUCCGUGGGAGUACUGCCAUUUCCCUGCUGAGAGCAACCCUGUUAAUGCUGGCUUCGGUUUCACCUACACGGUGGUGAAACCAUUUGUUGUUGACAUGGACAAGU
rfam:Buceros rhinoceros silvestris contig10767, whole genome shotgun sequence.